UCUUCUUAUAAAGACGCUAGUCAUUGGGUUAGGGCCCACUGUAAUCCAGGAUGGCCUCAUUAAUUUGAUUACACCUGCAAAGACCCUAUUUACAAAUGAGGUCAUAUUCAGAGAUACUAGGAGUCAGAAAUUUAACAUAUCUUUUUGGGGAUACAAUUCAACAAUUUUAAUGCUUGCUGUAGCUUUAAAUGGAAGGGGUUUCAAAGUUCUUAGGAGUCCUUGUUUUUGUCUUCCCAGGAAGACUAGAAGAAGCUGGAGCCUGGGACAUGCCUUUCCACCAGCUGAUAUAAGGCUCUUUUUGCCAGAAGGGCUUUGUUAUAAAGAACACUCCCAGCAUAUUUCAAAAUGGCUACUUUCCUCUUUUCCUGCCAGAGGGAUGAGGUCACCUUUAUCUGUGAUUCUCAGUGUUUGCCUGCUCUUCAGAUUUCAGAGUGUCAGUUUGGCCUGUGAUCUCCUUUUUCUGAUGGGUCCAAGACAAGUUAUUGAUUCUCAGUUUGUUCAGAAUUUUUCUUGUUGUAAGGUUGGGAUUGAAAACAUCCAAGCUCUUUCAUGUCAGGGCUGAAAUUGGAAUGCUAUUGCUUUCAAUUUUUGAAAGAUAGUUUUGCCAUUUACAAGAGUUUUGGUUGACUGAUUUUUUAAGUACUGUGACUAUGUCUUUGCAUUGCCUUCUGAAUGCCAUUGUUUCUGUUGAGUAGUCUGCCAAUAAUUUUAUUGGGUUUCUUUUUAUGUUGUGAGUAGCUUUACUCUGUCCUUUCAAAAUUUUGUCCUCUUUGGCUCUCAGCAUUUUUGUUAUAAUGUAUCUGGGUGAUAGGCUGACUUUUAACAAGAUUUCUCUGCUUCUAUCAUUGUUACAUUGAUUGGGUUUUGAUUAUUAUUUUAAUAGACAUUUCUAGAAUGAAAACAACUUAACUUUGAUUUGUAAUUUUAUGUAUUGCUGGAUUUGAUUUUCCAAUGUCAUGUUUUGCAUUUUUGCAUCAAGUUCAGGAGAUAACGUACCUUUCCUGUAUGGUCCUUGUUAGGGUUUUGUACUCAGGUAGGUUACUCUUGCCUCAUAAAAAUAUUGGGGAAUAUUUCCUCUAUUCCUAUUAAGAGUUUAUGUGACUUCAGUGUUGUUUAUUAAAUGUUGCAAAUGUUUUACCAAUGAAACUAUAACGUUGUGCAGGUUUUUUGGGAAUGGAAAUAACCUUUAACAAUAGAUUAAUUUAUUUAAUGUGAAUCAGAAGAAACCUAUAAUCUCUUCUUCAUUUAGCCUUAUUUAGUUGUGCUAUUGAGGAAUUUGCUUUUUAUUUAAAUCAAUUUUUGUAUGUUUUGGGGUAAAGCUGUUCUUAAAAUCCACCCAUUUUCUUUUUAAUGUCUCUUUGUUCUCUGGGCUAUAAUAUUUUGUCCUGUUAUGUGAUGAUAU
rnacentral:lncRNA from 1 species